AAUUUCUUAGAAUUAUUGGUGUCAGAGUAUAGAUCACAACUGCCCCCUUUCCCCUGUAUACGGUUUAUCUUCUUCCCAGAGAAGAAGUAAGCUGGAAUAUUGACUUGUCAAAUUGAAAGAGAGGCCAACGUUGCAAGAGUUUAUAAAUAAAGGAAUAGUAAAAACAAAAAACAAAAAAACCAAGCAUCAUAAUGAUAAGACUCUAUAUCAUUGUGCUUAUAAUUGUUAAAAAUAAAUAUCCUUGCGAUCCCAAGAAAUAGAUGCGGACUCCGUUUGUGUUUUCAAGUAACACAAAUCUCUU
rnacentral:lncRNA from 1 species